AGCCCCUCUACUUUCCUCUUAAAAGUCCAUUCCUGGAAUCCAAGUCAUCAAAUAACCUCGUGGAAGAAAAUCGUGGAAUAAUCCAACAUGUCAAACUCAUGAUGACAUUUCCCCAUGUGGUCCUUUGGGAAAGAUUUCCUCAUCCGAUUUUCAGGAGUGUUGAAAGGCCAUCAUGACUGAGAGAAGGCAUGAGUCACCCCAAGUUUGGGGUUAAGCAUUGACAGAGGGGCAGUAUCAUCCACGUUUUGCAAGAGUCAUCAUACAGAGGUUAGCUGACCCGCCAAGCUCCCACAAGGAUGUUUGUAUAGUGAACAGCCUUGAAAGACACACAAUGUUUCCCUUUGGGACAAAAGUUAAGC